rnacentral:rRNA from 1 species
AUUGAACGCUGGCGGCAUGCUUUACACAUGCAAGUCGAACGGCAGCGCGGGCUUCGGCCUGGCGGCGAGUGGCGAACGGGUGAGUAAUACAUCGGAACGUGCCCAGUAGUGGGGGAUAGCUCGGCGAAAGCCGGAUUAAUACCGCAUACGACCUGAGGGUGAAAGCGGGGGAUCUUCGGACCUCGCGCUAUUGGAGCGGCCGAUGGCAGAUUAGCUAGUUGGUGGGGUAAAGGCCUACCAAGGCGACGAUCUGUAGCUGGUCUGAGAGGACGACCAGCCACACUGGGACUGAGACACGGCCCAGACUCCUACGGGAGGCAGCGGUGGGGAAUUUUGGACAAUGGGCGAAAGCCUGAUCCAGCAAUGCCGCGUGUGUGAUGAAGGCCUUCGGGUUGUAAAGCACUUUUGGCGGGAACGAAAAGGACUGUGCCAAUACCACGGUUCGAUGACGGUACCCGCAGAAUAAACACCGGCUAACUACGU